rnacentral:rRNA from 1 species
CCUACGGGUGGCUGCAGUCGAGAAUUAUUCACAAUGGGGGAAACCCUGAUGGUGCGACGCCGCGUGGGGGAAUGAAGGUCUUCGGAUUGUAAACCCCUGUUAUGUGGGAGCAAAUCACAAUGAUAGUACCCCACUAGGAAGAGACUGCUAACUCGGUGCCAGAAGCCGCGGUACUACAGAGGUCUCAAGCGUUGUCCGGAAUCACUGGGCGUAAAGCGUUCGUAGGCUGGUUCGUAAGUCGUGUGUGAAAGGCUCGGGCUCAAACCGCGGACGGCAAAUGAUACUGUGCGACUAGAGAUAGGGCGGGGGAGGCGGAAUGCACGGUGUAGCAGUGAAAUGCGUAGAUAUC